GACGUAGGGCGCGAGCGUUGUCCGGAUUUAUUGGGCGUAAAGAGCUCGUAGGCGGCUUGUCGCGUCAACUGUGAAAACCCGUGGCUCAACCAUGUGGUCUGCAGUCGAUACGAGCAGGCUAGAAUUCGGUAGGGGAGACUGGAAUUCCUGGUGUAGCGGUGGAAUGCGCAGAUAUCAGGAGGAACACCAAUAGCGAAGGCAGCUCGCUGGGACGGUACUGACGCUAAGGCGCGAAAGCGUGGGGAGCGAACAGG
rnacentral:rRNA from 1 species